UGCUUUGUCUGACUGAAGCUGUGUGC
rnacentral:piRNA from 1 species